rnacentral:rRNA from 1 species
CCCUUAGAUGUUCUGGGUCGCACGCGCGCUACACUGAUGCAUUCAACGAGUUUCUUCCUGGUCCGAGAGGGAUGGGUAACCUUUUGAAAGUGCAUCGUGAUAGGGAUAGACUAUUGCAAUUAUUGGUCUUCAACGAGGAAUUCCUAGUAGACGUAGUUCAUCAGACUGCAUCGAUUACGUCCCUGCCCUUUGUACACACCGCCCGUCGCUCCUACCGAUUGAAUGCUCAGGUGAGCCAUUCGGACUUUCAUCAUGCUGGUUUCCAGUUUUGAUGAAGGAAAGUCUUGCGAACCUUAUCAUUUAGAGGAAGGAGAAGUCGUAACA